rnacentral:rRNA from 1 species
UAAGACAGAGGGUGCAAACGUUGUUCGGAAUUACUGGGCGUAAAGCGCGCGUAGGCAGCAGCGUGUGUCGGGCGUGAAAUCCCACGGCUCAACCGUGGAAGUGCACUCGAAACUGCGCAGCUAGAGUCUCGGAGAGGAAGGCGGAAUGCUUGGUGUAGAGGUGAAAUUCGUAGAUAUCAAGCGGAACACCGGUGGCGAAGGCGGCCUUCUGGACGAUGACUGACGCUGAAGCGCGAAAGCGUGGGGAGCAAACAGGAUUAGAUACCCUGGUAGUCCACGCCGUAAACGAUGAGUGCUAGGUGUCACGGGCUUUGACCCUCGUGGUGCCGCAGCUAACGCGUUAAGCACUCCGCCUGGGGAGUACGGCCGCAAGGCUA